UAUAAACCCGAGUGAGAGCUAACGAACGAGCGUUCGCAGCCUCUGUAUUAUACACAACCACACACACACACACACACACCACACACAUCACACACAUCACACACAUCAUUCGGCCCAGAUGGAAUAUACACAGUUAUUUUUUCCUGUUUAACGGCAACAGUCCAGUGCUCUUUAUUCAGACUUUGGAAACAUUUACAACCACUGAAAAGCGAAGUCAACAUGAAGUCAUAGACUGUCAACGAUGAAGCACACCUGCCGUUCCUCAGCUCACCUGCCUUCCAUCAAGUCAUCACUCCAACUGCAUAUAAACCCUGGCCUUUCUCCCACUCCUUGUCCACCACCAUCUUCACCUCCUGCCAUCUGCUUGCCUGCUCUCCACCAACCUCACCUCAGCCAUUCCCUCCACCUCGCUAUUGGACCCUCUCCUUCCCCUUUUAUUUUCACGUCACAAUAAAUAAUAAUA